GAUCCAAUGAUAUUUCAAAGGUGGAACUGAAAUAUAUUGCUUGGUUGGUUUUUUUAAGCUCCUAGGUUGCACUUUGUCCUUUUUUCUCAUUACCUAAAAGUGAGCAGCCAUCCAAAAAGUGACGGUGCCAGUCAGCGGCGCC
ensembl:ncRNA F14B8.12 ncRNA